GCCAUUUGGAUAUAGCGAUAAAUAGUCUGCGUAAUAAGCUUGUUGGACCCGGGGGCGGUACCCGGCGCCUCCACCA
rnacentral:tmRNA from 1 species